UACGUAGGGUGCGAGCGUUAAUCGGAAUUACUGGGCGUAAAGCGUGCGCAGGCGGUUCGUUGUGUCCGAUGUGAAAGCCCCGGGCUUAACCUGGGAAUGGCAUUGGAAACUGGCGAGCUUGAGUGCGGCAGAGGGGGGUGGAAUUCCGCGUGUAGCAGUGAAAUGCGUAGAGAUGCGGAGGAACACCGAUGGCGAAGGCAGCCCCCUGGGUCGACACUGACGCUCAGGCGCGAAAGCGUGGGGAGCGAACAGG
rnacentral:rRNA from 1 species